rnacentral:lncRNA from 1 species
GUUGGGCAGCGCGCCAACCCUUGCCCUGCUGCACAGAAUGACAAGGCAUGCGAAGAUGACAGAGCUAAUGAGCUUCAAGAGACUUCUUGGGAGACUUGAAAUCUGCAUGGAAGGACUCCAGCCUGUGAUGUUACAGCUCUUGUUUGCUCCCUGUAAAAUGACAUCAGCCAGAGGUCACAGUGCUCAGUGGGGAUCCACCACAUGAGGAUCUAUUUGCACAGUCUAAAAAUGCUAGAUCCUCCUCUAGAAGUCUUUACAGACUAAAAAG